GUGUUAAAAAUGUUUUUGCUGUGCUCUUUUCCUCGUAGGGUCCAGGGUGCAUUGGCUGCAAACAGCAUUCUCCUUGGUAGUGUAUGCAGCCUGUUACCUGUAUGGAUUGCCCUAAGGGGCCUUGAAGACAGCC
ensembl:snoRNA SNORA70 Small nucleolar RNA SNORA70